UACAGAGGUCUCAAGCGUUGUUCGGAUUCAUUGGGCGUAAAGGGUGUGUAGGUGGCGCCGUAAGUCGGGUGUGAAAUUUCGGAGCUUAACUCCGAAACUGCAUUCGAUACUGCGGUGCUUGAGGACUGGAGAGGAGACUGGAAUUCAUGGUGUAGCAGUGAAAAUGCGUAGAGAUCAUGAGGAAGACCAGUGGCGAAGGCGGGGUCUCUGGACAGUUCCUGACACUGAGACACGAAGGCCAGGGGGAGCAAAACGGGG
rnacentral:rRNA from 1 species